UACGGAGGGUGCUAGCGUUGUUCGGAAUCACUGGGCGUAAAGGGCGUGUAGGCGGUCUGUUAAGUCUGAUGUGAAAAUCCCUCGCUCAACGAGGGAACUGCGUCGGAUACUGGCAGACUCGAGUACCGGAGAGGAAGGUGGAAUUCCCGGUGUAGCGGUGAAAUGCGUAGAUAUCGGGAGGAAUACCGGUGGCGAAGGCGGCAUCCUGGACCGACAUUGACGCUGAGGAGCGAAAAGCUAGGGGAGCAAACGGGG
rnacentral:rRNA from 1 species